CACGGACCACUCAGCUUGUUUCCCUGUAAGGAAACGUCCCUUCUCCCUUGAAAUACGUCCCUUCCUGUCCUCCUGGGGCCCUCGCAGGCAAACAGCCAGGAGGUGGAACUGAGCUGGGCUGGCGAUGGUCACAGCAGCUUUCUCUCCUGCACUGGCUCCAAUGGGGAAACUGAAGCCCAGCAUCACGGAGGUAGGAAGGGGCAGACGUAGACCUGGAAGGAUUCUGUGGCCUGUUCGAAGUUCCAUGCAUGAGCCGUGCUCUGUGGAGAGCCAGGUCUGCUGUUCCAGGCUUUGCUCUCCCAGGCCCCUGGCUGUCCACGUCCCACACCAUCCUGACACCUGACACUCGGCACCCAUGUCAAUAACAGCUACAAUGCACCACGGCCUUGGGACACCGCGCUCAGUGCUCUGCCUGGAUGAGCCCUGUAUCCCCGAGACAGCCCCACUGUGGACAUUCUUAUGUCCAUUUUACAGAUGACAAAACUGAGAUGGGGGGAAUGCAGUGCUGUGCACAAGCCACACAGCUGGAAAUGUGCGCUGGGGACUGGAAUCCAGUUACCUGCUUUGGCUCUGUAAUCCUCUUUUUAUUUUUAUUUAAUUUAUUUUUCUGAGAUGGAGUGUCGUUCUGUCGCACAGGCUGGAGUGCAGAGGCAUGGUCUCGGCUCACUGCAACCUCCACCUCUUGGGUUCAACCCAUUGUUGUGUCUCAGCCUCCCAAGAAGCUGGGAUUACAGGGGUGUGCCACUAUGCCUGGCUAAUUUUUUGUAUUUUUAGUAGAGACGGGGUUUCACCAUGUUGGUCAGGCUGGUCUCGGGCUCCUGACCUCAGGUGAUCCGCCCGCCUCUGCCUCCCAAACUGCUGGGAUUACAGGUGUGAGCUGCUGCGCCCGGCCUUUUAAUCCUCUUUUUAAAAUACCUUAGGAUAUGAAAUAUCCAUAAUAGGCACAUCCAUAGACACAGAACGCAGAUCAGUGUUGCCAGGGGCUGUGGGGUGAAGAGGAGCUGCUGAAUGAGUGGGUGUUUCCUCCUGGGGUGACC
rnacentral:lncRNA from 1 species